UACAAGAAUCACAAACUCACCUCGUCUCUCUCACUCUUCUCGCUCACCGCGUCUCUCAAAGCGCAGCGACCUCCUCCGACCUCCCAUUGCUCUGGCCUCUUCCGACCUCCCAUUGCUCCGGCCUAUUCCGACCUCCCAUUGCUCCGGCCUCCUCCGCUCUCCCAUUGCUCCGGCCACAGAAGGUAAGCAAUGGAGGCGAAAGCAAAUCAAGAACAUUACCGAUAAGAUGUUUGAUCAUUUCAAAAACAAGAUAGGAAGAGCAUAUAUUAGAUUCGAGGAUGGGCAAGUUUUAGACCUCUUUUUCGUUCUUGCCUCUCAUUUCAUUUUGAAGGCCUUUUUUGUUAUGGCUUGAAGAAUAGUUUAUCAACAUUGGAUUAAUUUGAGUUGUUGAAUAUAAUGGAUAAUUUUAUAAAUUGCACA